UGAGGAAUAUUGGGCAAUGCCCGCAAGGGUGACCCAGCAACGCCGCGUGGAGGAUGAAUGUCGUAAGAUUGUAAACUCCUGUUAGAGGGGAAGAAUAGUACCGGUUGGACCGGUAUAUGACUGUACCCUCAGAGAAAGCCCCGGCUAACUACGUGCCAGCAGCCGCGGUAAUACGUAGGGGGCAAGCGUUGUCCGGAUUUACUGGGUGUAAAGGGCGCGCAGGCGGGAUAAAAAGUCAGUGGUGAAAUCCUACAGCUUAACUGUAGAACUGCCUUUGAUACUUUUAUUCUUGAGUUCGGGAGAGAGAGACGGAAUUCCAGGUGUAGUGGUGAAAUAUGUAGAUAUCUGGAAGAACACCAGUUGCGAAGGCGGUCUCUUGGUCCGACACUGACGCUGAGGCGCGAAAGCGUGGGGAGCAAACA
rnacentral:rRNA from 1 species